rnacentral:rRNA from 1 species
CCUACGGGAGGCAGCAGUCGAGAAUUUUUCACAAUGGGGGAAACCCUGAUGGAGCGACGCCGCGUGGAGGAUGAAGGUUUUCGGAUUGUAAACUCCUGUCACUGCAGAGCAAAGUUUAUCGGUUAAUAGCCGGUAAAACUGAUAGUAUGCAGGGAGGAAGGGACGGCUAACUCUGUGCCAGCAGCCGCGGUAAU